UACACGUUCCUUAGAUCCACCUCUGGGAGGCCGUCCUCCACAGCGCUGCCUGUCCUGUGUGGGCAGUGCAGGGUCUGUGGAGAGGCUUCCAGCAGCUUUGUGGCUGUACAGUUGGAGGUGCUUGAGUCAUUGGCGUGUGAGAUCAGUCUACCUGCACCUCUGGUCUCACAGCGGCACUGACCCCUUGCUGGAAUUCAUCAGUGCUGCAAGACCAGAGGGCGGACAAC